rnacentral:rRNA from 1 species
UACGUAGGGGGCGAGCGUUGUCCGAAGUUACUGGGCGUAAAGCGCGCGUAGGCGGGUUGGCAAGUCUGCUGUGAAAGCCCGGAGCUCAACUCCGGAGGGUCGGUGGAUACUGCCAGUCUUGAAGUGGCUAGGGGGAGAUGGAAUUACCGGUGUAGCGGUGAAAUGCGUAGAGAUCGGUAGGAACACCAGUGGCGAAGGCGGUCUCCUGGGGGCUCACUUGACGCUGAUGCGCGAAAGCUGGGGGGAGCAAACGGG